CGGCACCGCCCCCGCCUUCGGCAUCCGCCCAGCGCCCUGACCCCUCCUGCCCUCUACCCGCAUCCCCCGCGGCGCCCAAACCCCUUCGCCCUCUGCCCCAUCCCCCACAGCGCCCCGAUCCCUCCGCCCUCUGCCCACAUCCCCCGCAGCUCCCUGACUCCAUCUGCCCUCUGCCCACAUCUCCUGCAGUGCCCCGACCUCUCAGCCCACAUCCCCCACAGCAUCCUGACCCCAUCUACCCUCUGUCCCCAUUGCCUGUGGCAUCCUGACCCCAUCCGCCCUCUGCCCACAUCCGCCGCAGCACCCUGACCCCCAUCUGUCAAUGCCCGCAUCCGCCGCAGCACCCUGACCCCCAUCUGUCAAUGCCCGCAUCCCCCGCAGUGCCCUGACCACAUUAACCGUCUGCCCACAUCCCGUGUAGCACCCUAAGCCCCAUCAACCCUCUCCCAGAAUCCCCUAUAGCACCCUGAGCCCCAUCAACCCUCUCCUAGCAUCCCCUAUAGCACCCUGGCCGCUCUCCCCCCCUUCAACCUGGGGAAAUGUGUGAACCUAGAAAAUUGGUUUGAAUGAAAUAGGAAAUUGACCAGAACAUUUCCCCUACAAUUUGAACUGAACCCAUAGUUAUUUUUAAGCCGCAAAAUGUAACGUUGACCUUUUUUUCUGUCCAAAAUUAUUUUUAUAUAGAGUGACUAGAUGUCUUUGUUUACUGGAAUGGCACUGGCUUGAUGGGAAAGACCCACAGUUCCAGGAGGUUUUAUUGAAAAUAGGGCCAUACUGUUAGGAGGAAGGGUAGGAAGAAGGAGCAGAGGCAAAAAUUGCCUGUUGAGCAUGGCUUCUACCUCAGCUGAUCUGGAGGCCCCCUUCUGCAGACCACAGUCAGAACUCCCACUAGAGUGGGCGGGUACUGUAGUUCCUAACCCUUUGUCCAUAGUGGGUUGUGGGAGCACUUGUCUGCCUGUCCCAUGGGAGUUGACCAGUAAUGUUCUGUGUAGUUUUAAAUCAUGAACACCUCCAGCAGAACCAUUUUGUGUCUGCAUACUCCCUGCAGCCAGAGCCAACAUGGAGCCUGACCUGGUAGAAUGUCUCUAUCUCCUGCUCUCCGUUCUAUUUCAGUACACAGACAGAGCAUCUGCAAGAUGCUGGUGAAUGUUUCUGGUGUCAGUUUUUGAACUGCCAAAGGCACCUCUCUAAGGGGGAUACUGACAUGCCAGCUCCAAACUUGUUGAUGCGGCUCAUGCCUAUUUCUGCCUUAGCCACAGAUUCCCACUAUGUAGACUGGUUCUUCUGGGGCAGGGCCACAGGAACAGACUGGUGGGAUCACAUCAUCAUGCGGACUUGGGAUGGCCAGCAGUGGAUCCAGAACUUUAGCAUGAAGAAGCAGAUGUUCCUGGAGGUUCCCUGGUUCCAUCUGAGGGAUCCAGCAGUCCUGCUGUGCUGUGCUACCCUAAGGAGCAGACAUCAGUGAAUCAAGCUGCCAGAAAUGAUACUGUAACCAUCACUUGGUUGUAUUCAGUUUCCUUAUUGGUACAGCCUGCCUUAUUUUGUAAUUUGCCUGAUCAUUAUCUGUUUACCUUGUUUAUCCUGGGAGUUCUUGCCAUCCCC